rnacentral:rRNA from 1 species
UGAGCAACCUACCGAACUGUGGGGGAUAGCCGGCCUAACGGCCGAGUAAUACCGCAUACGCUCUCAGGGAGGCAUUUCUUUGAGAGGAAACCUACGGGACAGAUCGAGGGGCUCGCGGCCUAUCAGCUAGUUGGCGAGGUAACGCUCACCAAGGCAACGGACGGGUAGCUGGUCUGAGGAGGAUGGCCAGCCACAGUUGGGACUGAGAUACCGGCCCAGACCUCCGUACGGGGA